GACAGAGGGUGCAAACGUUGCUCGGAAUUACUGGGCGUAAAGCGCGUGUAGGCGGACCACCAAGUCGGACGUGAAAGCCCUGAGCUCAACUCAGGAACUGCAUCCGAAACUGGCGGUCUGGAGUAGUGGAGAGGAAAGCAGAAUUCCUGGUGUAGAGGUGAAAUUCGUAGAUAUCAGGAGGAACACCGGUGGCGAAGGCGGCUUUCUGGACCCUUACUGACGCUGAGACGCGAAAGCGUGGGGAGCAAACAGG
rnacentral:rRNA from 1 species